CCGAAUAAAGUUACUUAUAUAAGAACUAUUUUUAUCUUUCGCUUAGAUGAUUUAAUUUCAUCUUUAAACGAUCGUUUUAUGCCUUAAAAAAAAAACUGUUUUUUCUUUAUAGUAUAUAUUUUUACCUUCUCUUUGUAAACAUAAAUCGUUUUUAUUUAUGCAUGAAGCAGCUGAUUUUUUCAUGGAUGAUUUGCCAGGUUUUAAAGAUUCAGUUGAGACUUAGUACGACUUAUAGAUUUCUAAAUGGACCUCAGUAGAAUCAUCAUCAAUACCUUCUACCUCCACAGACUCUUUAAUUGCAUGUGAUAAAACAUUGUAUCCUAAUCUCUGCCAACU